CUUUCCUUUUAUCUCUGCAGCAUCAAGGUUUCUUUCCUUUCCGCAACACCGUAUUCUUUCCUUUCCUCUCUGCAGCAGCAAGGUUUCUUCUCUCUAUAGCAAGCAAUUAAGGAGGAGCUCCUAGUGCUGCCUUGCCAGGAGACGAGAUGCCCCUUCAUGCGCAGCCGCAUGUGAGGGGGCUGCUACCUAGCCAGGUCGUCGGUUGGCGAACGACCAGUUCACGAACGACCACACGUGAGAGGGGCAAUGCUUUCACAAUUGACCACAAACCAGGAGACAACUGUCUCACUAGGUUGAGGCUGUCCGGAGGAUUUCGAGUCACUAGUCCCCCCUUCAGAUUGCAAGGAUGUUGUUUGGUCUUUUGGUUUUCUUAUUAUACUAUCCAGACUAUGUUUUAGACUUGUUCUGGUUUUGCUCUAUGGAUAUUGUAUGAUUUUUCCUUUA